CGCCCACACAUACUCGCCCCUCCCUUAGACCCGUCCACCGGCAGCGCCUCCCUCGCCUCAGGCCGAGUCGCCGCCUCAUCGCUGCUCCCGGCCUCGCCUCGCCCGUCCAUCCGCCGUUCCUUUCCUCUCUCCCGGCCUCGCCCCUUGCUACAAGAACCACAUUGAGCUGCUGGAGCAUUUCCAGAGAAGGGCAGCAGAGCCGGUGAAGGGACUGGAGCACAAGUCUUAUGAGGAGCGGCUGAGGGAACUGGAGCUGUUUAGCCUGGAGAAGAGAAGGCUGAGGGGAGAUCUUAUCACUCUCCACAGUUACCUGAAAGAAGGUUCUGGCGAGUAAUCUGGACUUUGCACAGGAGGGGAAAAGCCUGACAUUCCUGAAAAUGGCAGCUGAGACAUCCACAGACGUUCCAAAACCUGCUAGACAAUCCGUCCUUAAAGAAGAGGUAAUUGUAGAAAGAAAAUGGUUGAAGCUUGAAGAAACAACUUACACUGAUCCCUUUGGUAAAACCAGAACUUGGGAAACUGUAAAGCGUACUGGCAACAAAAAGGGUGUUUCAGCUGAUGGUGUGGCGGUGAUAGCAGUACUACAGAGAACUCUCCACUAUGACUGCAUUGUCCUAGUGAAACAGUUCAGGCCCCCAAUUAACGGCUAUUGCUUGGAAUUUCCAGCAGGCCUCAUUGAGGAAAAUGAGACUGCAGAAAGUGCUGCAUUGCGAGAGCUGGAGGAAGAAACUGGGUACAAGGGCGAAGUCAUUGAAUGUACUCCAGCACUCUGCUUGGACCCAGGUUUGUCCAACAGCACAACACACAUUGUGAGCGUCACCAUUAACGGAGAUGAGGCUGCGAAUACAAGACCUAAGCAAAAACUUGGUGAGUUUUGUACCCUUUUGUCUGAAAACUCUGCAAAGGUAACGAAACAGUGGCUGUAAGAGGGCUGCCCCUACCACUGCAUCUCUUCUGUCCCAGCCGAUUUAGAUGUUGAACAUCCUUCAAAUUAUAUCCUGCAGCUUGGACAAGCAGAGCCAUGGUGCUCUGCUAACUUCACUGGGGAGGCCGGGAUGUUGGAUGUCAGGUGCUGGCACACCGGAAUGAGAAAUUUAGGUACCAAACUUCAGCGGGGGCCAUAAGCACUUGUGAACCUAGAUAUUCCUCUGAAUUUUGGCUUGACUCUGGAAGUAACUACAGUUCGCUUGUGAUCGGUCAGCUGUCAAAAUGCUUUUCAGUUGUAAACUCAAGUGUAUUGCAAAAUCCUUAACUUGCUACUUUUUUUUUUCUUGCAGAUGAUGGAGGUACGUUACACAGCUGUGCUCACAGUGACAGUAAAGCCAUGUGUGAUCUUUGUAGGACAGGUUUGACUUAGAAAAUGUCAGUUAAAACAGUUUUUUAUUUGGGUUUGGUUGAUCUCCUGCCUGUAAUCAAACAUGCAUGAAACUGGCUUUGGCCUAGACAUGAAGGCUCCUGUGGGGCAUUGUCACAUCAAUUAUCGUCUAGUAUUUCACCAGUAUCUCAGGAAAUACAGAUUACUGAAUCCACAGCAGCUGUAGAUCAAGCCCCAGUGACAAUUAAUUUGGAGAGACAGGGGAGGUGUAAGUCAACACAAAGUCAUUGAGAACAAACCCUUUGUGCUGUUUUGGUCUUCAAAUGCAUCCACAAUCCAUGACUGUGCCAGUACAAGCCAAACAAAUGUCAACUUCAACAGUGUAUUUUCGAUUCUCCGAUGGUAGAAGGUCUCCUCGGAGUAGUGUCAGCUACGCUGUUUUUCCCAGCUCUAUCCCAGUUUUUCUGCCAAACCUGUUUUUUCAUUAUCGCAGUCACUGCCUUCCCCCUUUUAAUCGGCCUUUUAGUGAUACAUGAAGGCUCACAGCUUUUGAUCGGUGAUGAGCAUUCAGGCAGUUUGUUUCCCCUUCCAAGCCAUGAGAAACAAGACACUGAAAUAGCUUUCCUCUCCUGUUCACUAAAUUAAAGGUCCAUAAAUUUUUUUCUUCUCUCCUAGAAUUUGUGGAAGUUAUUUCAGUUCCAAAGGACGACCUACUGCAGAGAAUCAACGAUCUCAUUGCAGAAGAACAUAUUGCAGUGGAUGCCAGGGUUUACACUUACGCACUGGCCCUGAAGCGUGCAGCAGAAAAACCAGUCCAGGUUCCUUUUAUGAAGUUGUAAAACUAGACGGUGAGAAAUGUAGGUGAAAACUACCCAAUUCAGAUGGCUUAGAAGUAUAACUCUUCUUGUGAUAAAGGUCCUUUGCUUUACUAGUAGAGCAACAAAACUAUUUGUAAGAAUGAUUCUGAUAAUUUUAUCUAGGAUUAUGGAACUGACCAAAAGUAUUUCUGCUGACUGCUCAAUCACACCCUGACAGAAUAAUCAUAAUAAAAAUGCUGUCUAAUUUUCAGAAUGGUUCGUUUCUCACUAUGUGCAUCAGCGCACUUGCAUUUCAGUAUAAGGAAGAUCUCCAGUAGCUGUAGUUGGUGUUGUGACACCACCUGUGCAAAACAAGACAGCAGAAGAGCGCCCUUUGUCCACAAGCAGCAUCGCUUCAACAGCUACAGGUGAUCUGCUGCAACAGGGAUACUGCGCUUCAAAUUGCAGUUUCAGGAACUUCCUUUUAGGAUUUAGACCUGAAGAUGUUGCUCCCUUCUCCCAGCCCUAAGCAAGCUAUCCGGAAAGAGAAAACUGGGUUGUUUGGUCUAAGAAAACGUAGAUUCUGAUAACGAUUAUCCCCUGGUGCAAACCAGAACAGGGGGAUUCUGUUUAAGGUAUGGGCUGGCUUACGUGCCCUGAGAUGGCCCAGCCUGCAGUGUUCCUUCUCCUUAGGACACAUCCUUGUACCCAGGUGGCACUUUCCUUCAGUGAA